GUGCUUGCUUUGGCUGCACAUGUACUAAAAUUGAAAGGACACAGAUUAUCAUGGCCCCUGCAUAAGGAUGACAUACAAAUUCAUGAAGCAUUUCAUAUUAAA